AAGCCUUCCGAUUCCAGAGAACAAAAAUCAAAUAAAAAUAAAAAAGUUAAACGCUAACGGACUCCUCUCACUCUCCCUCGACAAAUCCAUGACCACUACCUCCCUUUCCAUGUCAAAGCUCCAUUACUCUCUCAGGUUUUGAUAGGUUGUGCCUGGAUUGUUAUUUUGUGUUGUUUUGGUUGGUUAAUGAUGGCACUAGUUUGUUAAUUGAGGGAAAAAUGAGCUUUGAUUUUUUGAUAAUAGAGAAAUGGAAAGUGAUGAUUUGUCGAAUUGUAAGGAUUUGGAAGCUAAGUUAGGGUCACAGAAGGGUUUGUCAAGGAAUUUGUUGAAACCUAGGGUUAACAAAGGAAUGGAGGAGCAGAAGAAAUUGUUGGGGAAGCAAAUUGAGGUUGGUAUCGAUUCAGAUGACAAUGAGCCCAUUGGGUCUUUGUUCAGGUUGAAGAGACCUAGAAACCCUAAAAAGGUUAAGGUGGUUUUGGAGAAGAUUGGAGUUAGGGAAGAUAAAUUGGUGACCGAAGAUGAGGAUUUGGGAGGAAUGGAUGAUACACUUGCGAGUUUUAAGAAGAAGUUGAAAGCUCCUAAGAAGGGUUUGGGAUCUGUAAGUGCCAUUCCAAAUGAAGGUGACGAGUUAUUGGAUGGAAAUGUGGAGAAAAAAGUACAAAACAAGCAUAAGGAGAGAGCGAGUAAAGUGGAGAGUGGUUGGAACAGUGUGGGAACUGGGGGUCAUGCUGCGGUUGAUGAUGAUUCGGAGGGUUUGGGAUCUCAGGGUGCUCUGUUAGAGAACCAAGAAGAGGAAAGUUUGUUGCCUGGUGAGAGUUCAAGUCAGUCUUUGGAUAAGUUGGAAGAUUCAAUAUCAGCUUUUUAUCAGAAGAAGCAAUCGGGUUCGGUGAGGAAGUCUUGUGCAAAUUCGAGUUCAAAGCAAAUUAAUAGGGUUCAGUGUUUGGAGGCCCGAUUAAGCCCUGGAUCUGGAGCUGGUUCUGGGGGUUCCAAGGAUGUGGAUUUAAGUAUAUUCAGAUCCAGUCCUGUCUCAAAUGUGGUCUGCAAAGAUCUGGAAGCUGGAGACAGUUCCCAUAUAGUUGCCAAUUUGAGUUUGUUAGAUUCUCCCUCUAGACAAAUUUUGAAUACAAAAAACCAGAGGCUUGAUAAUGGGUUUGAUGAAAUUUCCUAUUGCAUAGAAGAAAACACUGAUAGAAUCAAGGGGCUCUCUGUGAGCAAGGAUGAAAGUAUGAAAUCCAAUGACAAGAGACAUGGUAAAUCUUCAGAAGUUACUGCUGAGGUUGCUGCACCUGCAUCUCCAGCAUUGGGAUCUCAACAUGGGGUGAUUGAAGAGGAAGAAACGCAGGACCCAUGCAUCUCAGAUUUUAAAGGGGAACCUAUGGGGAAACCUUUUAGUUCAUAUAAAAUUUGGAAUGAAAGUCAUUCUGCUUCAGGCAAUAAUGAUGGCUUGGAAGCUCAGACUUUAAAGAAUGGGUUAAAGCUUUGUUCUGUGGGUAAAGCAAGCACCAGGAACGCAUUAGAACAACAAUCUAAGGGUGUUUCAGCCGCAUGCAUUUCAAAUGCAGAACCUCAAAUUUCAAUAUCUUCAGGCGGAAGAGAAGUCUCAGCCUCCUCUAGCCCUAAUAGUCAAAAUGAUCUGCAGGAUCUUGCUUCAGUUCCAAAAAAGGAAAAUGUGGAAAUAUCUGAUGUUAGGUUGUCACCAAUUACUGUAACAUCCAGAGAAGUCCACAAAUGUACAUUUUCUUUGUGCAUGAACAACAACAGGAACUCCUUAGAUUAUCUUUCGAUCAAUGAAGAGGCCAAUGGACCAUCUCCUCGAUCUUUAACUCCAGAAGAAAAUGAAAGUUAUCCAGAAGAUUCUGUAUCAGUGCCAGAUUCUGACAUCAAAGAUGGUCACUUAGCAGCUUUGCAUCGUGCUAUGCGGAAGCCCAAAAAGCGCAGACUUGGAGACAUGGCUUAUGAAGGGGAUGCUGAUUGGGAGACUUUGAUAAAUGAGAAACAAUUUCUGGAAAAUGACCAGGUUGUUGAAAGUGACCGAUCUUUUAGAACCAGAGAGAAGUCUGAUUCUUCUUCAAAUAGUGUCGAGUCUGAAAAUUGCAGGAUUGCAGCAGUUACAGCUGGAUUGAAAGCACGUGCAGCAGGUCCAGUCGAAAAGAUCAAGUUUAAGGAGGUCUUAAAGCGCAAAGGUGGGCUUCAAGAAUAUUUGGAGUGCAGGAAUCGGAUAUUGGGUCUUUGGAGCAAAGACGUUAGCCGUAUAUUGCCUCUUGCAGACUGUGGCAUCACUGAGACUCCUUCCCAGAAUGAAUCUCCUCGUGCUUCUUUAAUAAGGCUAAUCUAUGAAUUUCUUGAUCAGAGUGGCUAUAUAAAUGCUGGAAUUGCUUCUGAGAAAGAGAGUGCAGAACCUAGUGCCAAUCACAAUUAUAAACUUGUCGAAGAAAAAACUUUUGAGGGAAAUCCUGGAGCUUCAGUAGCUGAUUUAGAAGAUGGGGUCUCCUUUAUCCUUGGUCAGGUUCAAAGUUCUCAAAAUUCUUUGGAGCCAAAGGACAGGGUUCCAAUGGAUAACCAAGACCUGGCAUUGAAAGCUUUGAAAAGGGGGAAGCUUGUUGCUCCAGUGACACUGGAUUUACCCAAUGUUGAGGAAUGUGAAGAAUGGCCAGCUGAAGAUAUUAAGCAAAAUAGUGUUAGCAAUACAAAGUUAUCUAAUGGGCUGGCCAGUUUGGAUGCUUUGAGUACUGAUCCAUCUUGCACGAUGCUGGAUAGCAGGACGGCCCCUGUAAUAAAUCCAGAGUUAAGGAAUGGCUUGCAGAGUGUUAAAUCUAACUCUUGUGCUGAAAUGGGAGGGAGUCAUAAAUUGCUGUGUGAUUCCAAAGACAGAAAGAAAAUAAUUGUCAUUGGAGCUGGUCCUGCUGGCUUAACUGCUGCACGUCACUUGGAACGUCAGGGUUUUUCUGUUACUAUACUCGAGGCUCGGAGUAGAAUAGGUGGCCGUGUUUAUACAGAUCGCUCAUCUCUUUCAGUCCCUGUAGAUCUUGGGGCUAGUAUUAUAACUGGAGUUGAGGCUGAUGUGACCACUGAAAGAAGACCAGACCCUUCCUCAUUGAUUUGUGCUCAGUUGGGCCUUGAGCUGACUGUGCUAAAUAGUGACUGUCCUCUUUAUGAUAUUGUGACCGGAGAAAAGGUUCCUACAGAUCUGGAUGAAGAAUUGGAAGCAGAGUACAACAGCCUUCUUGAUGACAUGGUCUUGGUUAUUGCUCAGAAAGGGCAACAUGCUAUGAAAAUGUCUCUGGAGGAUGGUUUAAGCUAUGCCCUCAAGACACGUCGCAUGGCACACCCUGGAGCCUUUUUCGAUGAAACUGAAUCAGGAAAUGCAGUGGAUGCUUUAUAUGAUUCCAAAACUUGUAGUGUUGAUGGUGGAGCUCCUGAGAAUUCUAAAGAGGAGAUUCUGAGUCCUCUUGAGAGGAGGGUUAUGGAUUGGCAUUUUGCUCAUUUGGAGUACGGCUGUGCUGCUUCUCUCAAGGAAGUUUCUCUUCCCUACUGGAAUCAAGAUGAUGUUUAUGGAGGAUUUGGAGGAGCUCAUUGUAUGAUUAAAGGGGGUUACAGUAAUGUUGUCGAGUCUCUUGGGGAAGGACUCUCCAUUCACUUGAACCAUGUAGUCACAGAUAUUUCAUAUGGCAUCAAAGAUGCUGGAGCAAGCGUGAGUCAUUGUAGCAAAGUCAAAGUCAGCACCUCGAAUGGUAGUGAGUUUUUGGGAGAUGCUGUGCUGAUUACCGUGCCUCUUGGGUGCCUGAAAGCAGAAGCCAUCAAGUUUUCCCCUCCGUUACCGCAAUGGAAACGUUCUUCCAUUCAGCGACUUGGUUUUGGAGUUCUUAAUAAAGUAGUCCUUGAAUUUCCAGAUGUUUUCUGGGAUGAUUCUAUGGAUUACUUUGGUGCGACUGCUGAGGAAACUGAUCGGAGGGGUCAUUGUUUUAUGUUUUGGAAUGUCAAGAAAACUGUUGGGGCUCCUGUUCUUAUAGCCCUAGUGGCUGGUAAGGCAGCUAUUGAUGGCCAAAGAAUGAGCUCAUCUGAUCAUGUAAGUCAUGCAUUAAUGGUUCUUCGUAAACUUUUUGGGGAGGCUUUGGUACCUGAUCCAGUUGCAUCAGUGGUGACUGAUUGGGGCAGGGAUCCUUUCAGCUAUGGUGCUUACUCCUAUGUUGCCAUUGGAUCAUCCGGAGAAGACUAUGAUAUAUUAGGCAGGCCUGUUGAGAACUGUGUAUUUUUUGCGGGUGAAGCCACCUGCAAGGAGCAUCCAGACACGGUUGGUGGUGCUAUGAUGAGUGGACUCCGGGAGGCAGUGCGUAUAAUUGACAUAUUGAGUAUGGGAACUGAUUUUACAACAGAAGUAGAGGCAAUGGAGGGGGCACAGAGACACUCAGAGGUUGAACGCGAUGAAGUUAGAGACAUAACAAAGAGACUUGAGGCAGUUGAGCUGUCCAAUGUAUUGUAUAAGAAUUCUCUAGAUCGGGCCAGGCUUUUAACCAGGGAAGCUUUGCUACGAGACAUGUUCUUCAGUGCAAAAACCAUUGCAGGACGUUUGCAUCUGGCCAAGAAGUUGUUGAAUCUUCCUGUUGGAACUUUGAAGUCCUUUGCUGGGACCAGGAAAGGGCUUGCUAUGCUCAACUCAUGGAUUCUGGACUCAAUGGGGAAGGAUGGGACUCAACUCUUGCGUCACUGUGUUCGUCUUCUUGUGCUAGUUUCAACUGAUUUACUUGCUGUGCGUUUGUCAGGCAUAGGGAAAACAGUGAAAGAAAAGGUGUGUGUGCAUACAAGCCGUGAUAUACGUGCCAUAGCAAGCCAGCUGGUUAGUGUGUGGCUUGAAGUCUUCCGCAGGGAAAAAGCUUCAAAUGGUGGGGUAAAGUUACCAAGGCAUGCAACUGCAUUGGAGUCUUCAAAGAGGAGAUUUUUCAACAAUUCAACCUCAGGAAAGCCACCUUUGCACACUCAUCAUGGUGCUUUGGAGAAUAGUGGCAAUCUGCAGGUUUCUACAUCGAUUAGAGGGCCCUUGCCAACAAACUCUAACAUGGAAAAAGGAAAGAGCAAGCCAGAAACUCUGAAUUGCUCAAGCAGACUGGGUACUGAGGUAGAGGAGGGUAACACAAUUGCCAUCUCUGAAGAAGAACGGGCUGCCUUAGCUGCAGAGGAGGCAGCUCGUGCUGCUGCCCAUGCAGCUGCCCAGGCAUAUGCAUCGUCAGAAGCCAAGUUUAGCACAUUGGUGCAGCUGCCUAAGAUACCCUCGUUUCACAAAUUUGCUAGACGGGAACAAUAUGCACAGAUGGAUGAAUAUGAUCUCAGAAGAAAGUGGUCUGGUGGUGUUAUGGGAAAACAAGACUGUAUAUCAGAAACUGACUCAAGAAAUUGCAGGGUUAGGGACUGGUCUGUUGAUUUCUCUGCUGCCUGUGCUAACUUUGAUAGUUCAAGAAUGUCGGGUGAUAACCUAUCUCAGCGGAGCCAUUCAAAUGAGAUUGCUUCACAUAUGAGUUUUAGAGAACAGUCUGGAGAAAGUGCAGCAGUGGACAGUAGCCUUUUUACAAAAGCAUGGGUGGAUACUGCUGGUAGUGCAGGGAUAAAGGGCUAUCAUGCCAUUGAGAGAUGGCAAUGUCAAGCAGCAGCAGCUGAUUCAGAUUUUUUCCAUCGGGCCAUGCAUAUAAAAGAUGAAGAGGAUUCAAACACAAGUUCUAGACCACCGACCUGGAAGCAUGAUGGAAGAGCAAAUGAGAGCUCCAUCUCACAGGUCACUGUAAACAAGGAGCCAUCAAAACGUCAUUCUCAAGGUGCUGAUCGUAUUAAACAGGCUGUUGUUGAUUUUGUUUCAUCAUUGCUCAUGCCUGUUUAUAAGGCAAGGAAAAUUGACAAGGAGGGGUACAAAUCAAUAAUGAAGAAAAUUUCAACCAAGGUCAUGGAGAAGGCUACAGAUGCAGAAAAAGCCAUGGCUGUUUCUGAGUUUCUUGAUUCCAAGCGCAAGAAUAAGAUCCGUGCCUUUGUGGAUAAAUUGAUUGAGAACCACAUGGCAAUGAAGCCAUCUGUUGAACCUUGACAGUCCCCAGAAUUGACUUGCCUGUUUUCAAGUAAUGCUUCUGUGACAUUUACAGAAAGUCCAUUCAUUUCUGUUCCUUCAAGAGUUCACAGUAUAAGAUGUUAGCCAUGGAGUUUGUGGCUCGGCCCGUGUAAAUGCUUAAUUUUGGAGUGCCAAUAUGCUGUUAAUGAUGCAGAAAGUGCCAUAGCAGAAAGGGGACAGUUUUCCUGUUGAAAUCAGGAGGGCCCCAGUGAAGAUUGAUCAAUAUCCAAGUAUUCUUGCAAAUGUCUUCAGAUUCUACUGGAGUGCAGCUCAGAGGGCCAUAGGAGCUUGACAAUUGCUGUAGCUCUGAUUACAAGGAUUGCAUCAGCAUAUUUUGAAUCAUAUUGUUCCUUGCAAUUGGUUGGGAAACAUAUUGUGGUUGUCUUGCCAAUGCGAGCCGUGUGUGCUAAAUAUCAGUGGCAUGGAACUACUGAAGAUGUGGUUAAUGUCCAGAAAGCGAGUUGUGUUUGCUCUGGCAGUAAUGAAGAAAACUCUGCCCCUGGUUAGUUGAUGGAACGUAACAUUGAUUUUUAGCUUUGAUUGUCUCCCAUCAUGUCACCGAUCUCAUUUAGAAUUAGGGAGAGAACAAAAGUUCUUUGAUGACAUUGGAGUGCUCAUUCAGUAAAUACAUUCUGCAAUGUGCUGACAUUUGUUUGGUUUGAUUUUGAUCUCUUUAUGGAAAGAAGAGGGCCUUUUUUGCGCGACAAUUCUCCAGGAUUUUUCUCCUCCGGAGCACUGCUUUACUAAUGCAUAAUAACUUGACGGUGACCAUCUUGUGGUUCCUUUUUGGACCUGAAACGACCUCGCAAGUUUCAGCUUCAAUAAAAUACUUUUAAGUGGUGCCUGGCCACUGCUUGUGUUGUCAUUUUUGUGCACACUUCUGACUGAAUUAUGAUUUAUCUAAAUUGCCUUUACGUCAACGGGUGUUAUCCUUCUGUAGAUGUAUUGUAUUAUUCUUUCAUAAUACAUGACAAGUCGCUUUGAUAUGAUAAAAAUUUCUUACAUACUCUC